CCCGCUGAACUUAAGCAUAUCAAUAAGCGCAGGAAAAGAAACCAACAGGGAUUGCCUCAGUAACGGCGAGUGAAGCGGCACCAGCUCAAAUUUGAAAUCUGGCCUCUCGGGGUCCGAGUUGUAAUUUGUAGAGGAUGUUUUGGGUACCGCCCCGGUCUAAAUUUCUUGGAACAGAAUGUCAGAGAGGGUGAGAAUCCCGUCUUGGACCGGCGGUAGGGCCUGUGUAAAACUCCUUCGACGAGUCGAGUUGUUUGGGAAUGCAGCUCAAAAUGGGUGGUAAAUUUCAUCUAAAGCUAAAUAUUGGCCAGAGACCGAUAGCGCACAAGUAGAGUGAUCGAAAGAUGAAAAGCACUUUGAAAAGAGAGUUAAACAGUAUGUGAAAUUGUUGAAAGGGAAGCGCUUGCGACCAGACUCGCCUGCGGGGUUCAGCCGGCUUUCGGGCCGGUGUACUUCCCCGUAGGCGGGCCAGCGUCGGUUUGGGCGGCCGGUCAAAGGCCUCCGGAAUGUAUCGCCCCCCGUGGCGUCUUAUAGCCGGAGGUGCAAUGCGGCCAGCCCGGACCGAGGAACGCGCUUCGGCACGGACGCUGGCAUAAUGGUCGUAAGCGACCCGUCUUGAAACACGG
rnacentral:rRNA from 1 species